rnacentral:misc_RNA from 1 species
UCCGAAGUGCAACGGGAAAAUGCACU